GCGAGGGUGGCGGAACUGGUAGACGCACCAGACUUAGGAUCUGGUUCCGGAUUCGGAGUGAGGGUUCAAGUCCCUUCUCUCGCACCA
rnacentral:tRNA from 1 species